rnacentral:tRNA from 1 species
GUCCCCUUCGUCUAGAGGCCCCGGACACCGCCCUUUCACGGCGGUAACAGGGGUUCGAAUCCCCUAGGGGACGCCA